UGGGGAAUAUUGGACAAUGGGGGGAACCCUGAUCCAGCCAUGCCGCGUGUGUGAAGAAGGCCUUAUGGUUGUAAAGCACUUUAAGCGAGGAGGAGGCUACCCUAGUUAAUACCUGGGGAUAGUGGACGUUACUCGCAGAAUAAGCACCGGCUAACUCUGUG
rnacentral:rRNA from 1 species